GCUGUAAGGAAAGCAGUCUGCAGUUACUCCUUGGGAGGGACAAUUUGGGCGAGUAAAUCCAGAGACAAGGGAACCAGAUGAUGUAGGAAGGAGUCCAGGGAAAUAACAACAGGGUCUGGGAAUGAGAAGACCAUAACUGCUAGACACUGGGUUCCUGUACUGGACCCUGGAGUAGAAGGCGGGCCCUACCGGCCACUGGGGAAGCAGCACAGUCUGGGCAGUGAAUAGGAAGACUGCCUGAGACAGUUUGUAUGUGGAGACUUUGAUACCCCCAAAUGGGAAAGCAUACAGUGACCUGGCCGGAGGGCCAAACCAUGAGGAGAGACAGCACCCUAAGCAGGGUGUGUGAACCAGUGGCAGCAGGGAGCACCACUCCUGGAAGGAGCUAAUCCCAGCCAGGAAGAGGUGCCCUAGUGUGCCUAUAAAAUAAGGAGAAAUACUAAGAGGCUGCUUCUUUUGUAAUGACUUCCAACGGCCUAAAUCUGACGCUAACAAGAUGCGCUGAGAAGCCAUCAGCAAUUCUCUCUUCCUUUUCCUCCACCCCGCUUUGAGCUGAGAAUGCUGGGCUGAAGAGAGGACAUAUCGGCACGCUAUUGCUCAGGGAAGGGACAGCAGGUUCUUGAUCUUCAUAUUAAAUUCCUGGAGACUGUCAGGCAACAAGAUAAAGAAAUAUGAGCUCAGUUAAAGCCCUGCUACUUCAAUGAACACAUUUUGAAACUGAGCAACCUGGUAUAUGGAACUUAUAAACUCCACACAACCACUCAAAGUUUAUAAACUCUGCAGAGACAUCAUGGCUCUAUCAGAGGUUCAGUUAUUUAUUGUAGAUAUCACCAAGGUUAAUGAAGUCCCUGUCUACAUUAAGGAAAGUGGCACUAAUGUAAUUACCUGGAUGUAGUUACAAAAGUACAAACUUCCUUAAUAUAGA